rnacentral:rRNA from 1 species
GUCCACGGCCACGCCACCCUGAACAAGCCCAAUCCCAUUUGCUCUGGGAAGCUAAGCAGCGUCGGGCCUGGUUAGUACUUAGUUGGGAGACCACCUAGGAAAACCAGGUGCUGUAGGCA